UACGGGGGGGGCAAGCGUUGUUCGGAAUUACUGGGCGUAAAGGGCUCGUAGGUGGCCAACUAAGUCAGACGUGAAAUCCCUCGGCUUAACCGGGGAACUGCGUCUGAUACUGGAUGGCUUGAGUUCGGGAGAGGGAUGCGGAAUUCCAGGUGUAGCGGUGAAAUGCGUAGAUAUCUGGAGGAACACCGGUGGCGAAGGCGGCAUCCUGGACCGACACUGACGCUGAGGAGCGAAAGCCAGGGGAGCAAACAGGG
rnacentral:rRNA from 1 species